GUCGUCUUCGUGUAGUGGGCCCUCAGGUUGCCGUUCUCUGAAAUUACGAGAACGAUUAUUACGAGAAAUUGAAAUUUUCGAAUCCACGAAUGGCAGGAAGGUGUUCGUUGCAGAAAGAAGAAGAAGAAGAGGAUAUAAAUUUUUUAAAAUCCAGUUUAACUUGGUUGAACAAUCGGUUGACAUUUAAUGGCUGGUGCGCUUUCUUUUGGAUUUUUAGAAUAUUAUUACGCGGCUUCGAUACGUUAUAUAAACACUCGUCGAGGAAAUGAAAAGUUGAUGCGAGAACGUUGCUCGUUUCACGAUGAUCUCUCGAUCGAAAACCUUGAUGGAAAUUCAUGGUACGAGGAAACUUGUCUCGUGUAUAACAAGAAGAGCAACACAGAAUUACAGAGAACGAAAGGUGUUGCGCGCUCUUUCAUCUUGAGAAAACUUCGUUUCACCGUCAUGGUUCGCGGACCAGAAACCAGAGAAGUCGCGCCGAUACUUUUCCGGUUGAACAGCUGUCAUCGAGGGGAGAGUAUCGCCUACGCGGCUAUCGCUCACGUAUGCAAAAUAAUAGAAACAACGCGUCGAGAAUGGAGAGAACUUUCACGAUUUAUGAAUUUAGUCGAGAACGAGAGUAUCUACUGCACACGUGGAAUAUUCGCAGAAUAAGAAGUGGAGAUAAAUUUUUAUUGCG